GACGAACGCUGGCGGCGUGCCUAAUACAUGCAAGUCGAGCGGACUUUCAAGAAGCUUGCUUUUUGAAAGUUAGCGGCGGACGGGUGAGUAACACGUGGGCAACCUGCCUGUAAGACGGGGAUAACUCCGGGAAACCGGGGCUAAUACCGGAUAAUAUCUUUCUUCGCAUGAAGGAAGGUUGAAAGGCGGCGCAAGCUGCCGCUUGCAGAUGGGCCCGCGGCGCAUUAGCUAGUUGGUGAGGUAACGGCUCACCAAGGCGACGAUGCGUAGCCGACCUGGGAGGGUGAUCGGCCACACUGGGACUGAGCCACGGCCCAGACUCCUACGGGAGGCAGCAGUAGGGAAUCUUCCGCAAUGGACGAAAGUCUGACGGAGCAACGCCGCGUGAGCGAAGAAGGUCUUCGGAUCGUAAAGCUCUGUUGUCAGGGAAGAACAAGUACCGUUCGAAUAGGGCGGUACCUUGACGGUACCUGACCAGAAAGCCACGGCUAACUACGUGCCAGCAGCCGCCGUAA
rnacentral:rRNA from 1 species